UCUGGUUGAUCCUGCCUGAACUGAUGUGUUUAUUUCAAAGAUUAAGCCAUGCAUGUAUAAGUUUAAUCGUUUAUCGAGAAACCGCGAACGGCUCAUUACAAUGGCCAUUAUUUACUUGAUCUUGAUUGUCUAAAUGGAUAACUGUGGAAAAGCUAGAGCUAAUACAUGCACUAAAGCUUUGUCCUUACGGAAAAGCGCAUUUAUUAGAACAAAACCACGCGGCUUCGGCUGCUUCUUGUUGACUCAGAAUAACUUAGCUGACCGCAUGGCCUUGUGCCGGCGGCGUGUCUUUCAAGCGUCCACUUUAUCAACUUGACGGGAGCAUAAUCGACUCCCGUGGUGGUGACGGAUAACGGAGGAUCAGGGUUCGACUCCGGAGAAGGGGCCUGAGAAAUGGCCACUACGUCUAAGGAUGGCAGCAGGCGCGCAAAUUACCCACUCUCGGCUCGAGGAGGUAGUGACGAGAAAUAACGAGACUGUUCUCUUUGAGGCCGGUCAUCGGAAUGGGUACAAUUUAAACCCUUUAACGAGUAUCAAGCAGAGGGUAAGUCUGGUGCCAGCAGCCGCGGUAAUUCCAGCUCUGCAAAUACAUAGAAUUAUUGCUGCGGUUAGAAAGCUCAUAGUUGGAUUCGUAUCGAUACCUUGGAACCCUUCGGGUGUCUCUAGGUGUUAUCGAUUUAUCGUAAUGUUCGGUUUUGAGUCCUUAACAGGAUUCUUAACAGGCAUUGCAAGUUUACUUUGAACAAAUCAGAGUGCUUCAAACAGGCGUUUUCGCUUGAAUGAUCGUGCAUGGAAUAAUAGAAAAUGAUUUCGGUUCAGUUUUAUUGGUUUUACGGACUGAGAUAAUGGUUAACAGAGACAAACGGGGGCAUUUGUAUGGUCCCGUGAGAGGUGAAAUUCUUGGACCGUGGCCAGACAAACUACAGCGAAAGCAUUUGCCAAGAAUGUUUUUAUUAAUCAAGAACGAAAGUCAGAGGUUCGAAGGCGAUCAGAUACCGCCCUAGUUCUGACCGUAAACGAUGCCAACUAGCGAUCCGCCGAUGGAAAUUAUAUUGCCUUGGUGGGGAGCUUCCCGGAAACGAAAGUCUUCCGGUUCCGGGGGAAGUAUGGUUGCAAAGCUGAAACUUAAAGGAAUUGACGGAAGGGCACCACCAGGAGUGGAGCCUGCGGCUUAAUUUGACUCAACACGGGGAAACUCACCCGGCCCGGACACUGUGAGGAUUGACAGAUUGAUAGCUUUUUCAUGAUUCAGUGGAUGGUGGUGCAUGGCCGUUCUUAGUUCGUGGAGUGAUUUGUCUGGUUUAUUCCGAUAACGAGCGAGACUCUAACCUACUAAAUAGUUGGUACAUACUCUUAGUGUAUACAGCUUCUUAGAGGGAUUUGCGGCGUUCAGCCGAAAGAAAUUGAGCAAUAACAGGUCUGUGAUGCCCUUAGAUGUCCGGGGCUGCACGCGCGCUACACUGGCAAAAUCAACGUGCUUGUCCUACCCUGAAAGGGGCGGGUAAACCAUUGAAAUUUGCCGUGAUUGGGAUCGGAAAUUGCAAUUAUUUUCCGUGAACGAGGAAUUCCAAGUAAGUGCGAGUCAUCAGCUCGCGUUGAUUACGUCCCUGCCCUUUGUACACACCGCCCGUCGCUGCCCGGGACUGAGCCAUUUCGAGAAAUUUGGGGACCGUUGAUUUAAUUUUUCUAAAUUACUUUGAUGGAAACCAAUUUAAUCGCAGUGGCUUGAACCGGGCAAAAGUCGUAACAAGGUAGCUGUAGGUGAACCUGCUGCUG
rnacentral:rRNA from 1 species